rnacentral:rRNA from 1 species
UGGGGAAUAUUGGACAAUGGGCGCAAGCCUGAUCCAGCCAUGCCGCGUGAGUGAUGAAGGCCUUAGGGUUGUAAAGCUCUUUUAGCAGGGACGAUAAUGACGGUACCUGCAGAAAAAGCCCCGGCCAACUUCGUGCCAGCAGCCGCGGUAAUACGAAGGGGGCUAGCGUUGCUCGGAAUCACUGGGCGUAAAGCGCACGUAGGUGGGUCGUUAAGUCGGGGGUGAAAUCCCAGAGCUCAACUCUGGAACUGCCUUCGAUACUGGCGACCUUCGAGUUCGGGAGAGGUGAGUGGACCUGCGAGUGUAGAGGUGAAAUUCGUAGAUAUUCGCAAGAACACCAGUGGCGAAGGCGGCUCACUGGCCCGAUACUGACACUGAGGUGCGAAAGCGUGGGGAGCAAACA